rnacentral:rRNA from 1 species
UUGGAGGGCAAGUCUGGUGCCAGCAGCCGCGGUAAUUCCAGCUCCAAUAGCGUAUAUUAAAGUUGUUGCAGUUAAAAAGCUCGUAGUUGAAUUUCGGAAUUUGUCGGUUGGUCGAGCUUCACUGUCCGCACUGACCUGAUGAAUUUCUACCUUCUGAAUAACCAGCAUGCUAUUUAGUUAGUGCGUUGGGGAAGCAGAGCUAUUACCUUGAAAAAAUUAGAGUGCUUAAAGCAGGCUUAUGCUUGAAUAGAUUAGCAUGGAAUAAUAAAAUAGGACGGCAUGGUUCUAUUUUGUUGGUUUCUAGGAUCACCGUAAUGAUUAAUAGGGAUAGUUGGGGGCAUUAGUAUUCAAUUGUCAGAGGUGAAAUUCUUGGAUUUAUUGAAGACUAACUUCUGCGAAAGCAUUUGCCAAGGAUGUUUUCAUUAAUCAAGAACGAAAGUUAGGGGAUCGAAGACGAUCAGAUACCGUCGUAGUCUUAACCAUAAACUAUGCCGACUAGGGAUCGGACGAUGUUAAUUUUUUAAUGACUCGUUCGGCGCCUUACGGGAAAC